rnacentral:rRNA from 1 species
CCUACGGGUGGCAGCAGUGAGGAAUAUUGGUCAAUGGCCGGAAGGCUGAACCAGCCAUGCCGCGUGAAGGUCAGUGCCCUAUGGGCGUUAAACUUCUUUUGUGCGGGAGCAAUAAUGGUCACGUGUGGCCAGACGAGAGUUCCGUACGAAUAAGCAUCGGCUAACUCCGUGCCAGCAGCCGCGGUAAUACGGGGGAUGCAAGCGUUUUCCGGAUUUAUUGGGUUUAAAGGGUGCGUAGGCUGUGAGGUAAGUCAGCGGUGAAAUGCCCCCGCUCAAAGGGGUGAAGUGCCAUUGAUACUGCCUGGCUGGAGUGCAGAUGAGGUGGGAGGAAUGUGUGGUGUAGCGGUGAAAUGCAUAGAUAUCACACAGAACACCGAUUGCGAAGGCAUCUCACGGAUCCGCGAUUGACGCUGAGGCACGAAAGCGUGGGUAUCAAACAGGAUUAGAUACCCCGGUAGUC